CGUACACGGUGGAUGCCCUGGCAGUCAGAGGCGAUGAAGGACGUGCUAAUCUGCGAAAAGCGCCGGCGAGGUGAUAUGAACCUUUGACCCGGCGAUGUCCGAAUGGGGAAACCCAGUGCAAUCCGUUGCACUAUCGUUAACUGAAUACAUAGGUUAACGAGGCGAACCGGGGGAACUGAAACAUCUAAGUACCCCGAGGAAAAGAAAUCAACCGAGAUUCCCCCAGUAGCGGCGAGCGAACGGGGAGCAGCCCGGAGUCUGAAUCAGCUUGUGUGUUAGUGGAACGGUCUGGAAAGUCCGACGGUACAGGGUGAUAGUCCCGUACACGAAAGCACACUUGCUGUGAACUCGAAGAGUAGGGCGGGACACGUGGUAUCCUGUCUGAAUAUGGGGGGACCAUCCUCCAAGGCUAAAUACUCCUGACUGACCGAUAGUGAACCAGUACCGUGAGGGAAAGGCGAAAAGAACCCCGGCGAGGGGAGUGAAAAAGAACCUGAAACCGUGUACGUACAAGCAGUGGGAGCCUCUUUAUGGGGUGACUGCGUACCUUUUGUAUAAUGGGUCAGCGACUUAUAUUCUGUAGCAAGGUUAACCGUAUAGGGGAGCCGAAGGGAAACCGAGUCUUAACUGGGCGUUAAGUUGCAGGGUAUAGACCCGAAACCCGGUGAUCUAGCCAUGGGCAGGUUGAAGGUUGGGUAACACUAACUGGAGGACCGAACCGACUAAUGUUGAAAAAUUAGCGGAUGACCUGUGGCUGGGGGUGAAAGGCCAAUCAAACCGGGAGAUAGCUGGUUCUCCCCGAAAGCUAUUUAGGUAGCGCCUCGUGAACUCAUCUUCGGGGGUAGAGCACUGUUUCGGCUAGGGGGCCAUCCCGGCUUACCAACCCGAUGCAAACUACGAAUACCGAAGAAUGUUAUCACGGGAGACACACGGCGGGUGCUAACGUCCGUCGUGAAGAGGGAAACAACCCAGACCGCCAGCUAAGGUCCCAAAGUCAUGGUUAAGUGGGAAACGAUGUGGGAAGGCACAGACAGCCAGGAUGUUGGCUUAGAAGCAGCCAUCAUUUAAAGAAAGCGUAAUAGCUCACUGGUCGAGUCGGCCUGCGCGGAAGAUGUAACGGGGCUAAACCAUGCACCGAAGCUGCGGCAGCGACGCUUA
rnacentral:rRNA from 1 species